rnacentral:rRNA from 1 species
GACGAACCGUGCGAACGUUGUUCGGAAUCACUGGGCUUAAAGGGCGCGUAGGCGGCCGUCCAAGUCAGGGGUGAAAUCCCGCAGCUUAACUGCGGAAGUGCCUUUGAUACUGGGUGGCUCGAGGGAGAUAGGGGUCUGUGGAACGGGUGGUGGAGCGGUGAAAUGCGUUGAUAUCACUCGGAACGCCGGUGGCGAAAGCGACGGACUGGAUCUCUACUGACGCUGAGGCGCGAAAGCCAGGGGAGCAAACGGG